GGAUUUUCCCUCUUCCUCGAAUCUGCCUCCCCUCUUGCCCUUAGAGUUGGCUGCGCCCACUUCUCCUACAGUUUCUGUUCCAGAUGGAGGAAUAGGGUUGGCUGCGGAGGAUCAUCUCUGAAGAGCUCAUAUUUAGCCGGAGAACUAACCUACUACACUCCCUCACACUCAGCCAUCGUCGGACUCCGCAUAACACUGUUGUCCUUUUUCCUCGCGGCCACGGUUGGCCGGUUGGUUCGCCGAUAGCCCAAAGGCCGGAACCUACAGCUGACUCUCUCCAGUGGCUGCCACUUCCUUCACCCAUGACUGGAUGCUACCAUGAGCCAUUGCCGGAAUAGCCAAGUGCCACCAGAUUUAGAUAUGACACUAACAAACAAAUCAAAGAUAAUUGAUGUCAUAUGGGAACAUUGCAAGAAAGUUCUAAUGCAAUGAGCUUGGAGUCCAAGUCUAUGGAAUUUAAUAUUGGUCUGUGUUAUCAAAAUGAAAAAUUAUCAUGUCGGAACAAGAAAUAAAGUUGCAGCUUGUCAAAUUUCAGAUAUCAGAAGUUAAUUUUUGAAGAUUCUCCAUGAUGUAUAUAUAUAUUAUGAUGUUGUGAGGGAAUGAUUGAAUGAACAAGAAAAGUCUUUAUCUCAAA